UACGUAGGUGGCAAGCGUUGUCCGGAUUUACUGGGCGUAAAGAGCGCGCAGGCGGUCGGAUCAGUCGAAUGUGAAAGCCCCCGGCUCAACUGGGAGGGUCAUUCGAUACUGUCCGACUCGAAGGCAGGAGAGGGAAGCGGAAUUCCCGGUGUAGUGGUGAAAUGCGUAGAUAUCGGGAGGAACACCGGUGGCGAAGGCGGCAUCCUGGACCGGCAUUGACGCUGAGGCGCGAAAGCCAGGGGAG
rnacentral:rRNA from 1 species